rnacentral:misc_RNA from 1 species
UGUUAUUGUUAUUGAUUUGGUGUAGUGUCCAUAAUAAGCUGACACACAACACCUUUAGCCGGCAUGGAAAGUGUUGUGCCAGUGGCCGAGUUCCAACAGAUCAAGCUGAGACCGGUGCCAAAGGUUAAAAGGCGUGCCCCACAGCCGCCAAUGAGUCUCAAGCUGAAGCAUAAAAAUACUUCUGCCACCACAAAGACAACAACGCUUACCACACCUGCCAAAUUAUAUGGCAAGGAUCUAAGCGAAUACGAUGAUGUGGAUGUGGAGAGCUUGUUGGCUCAACUCUCUCCCGAAGAGAUAACAAUUUUGGCCAAAGAAGUGGAUCCUGAUGACAACUUUCUGCCGCCAGAUCAGCGUUGCAGCUAUGAGUGCACCAAAGAUGCCACUGGGCCGCUGAACCGCAAGCAAUUGAUUGAGCACAUUAAUAAGCAGGCAAUUGAGACUCCCGACCAGCCAGAAUUUGAGCCAUAUGUUCAGGGCAAAGUGCGCGGCAAGAAGUGGGUGCCACCACCCAGAGAUGCUCGCGAAAUUGAGGCCGAGGAACAGAUUGCCAUCGAUAUGGGCGAGGAGUAUGAGCAUGCAUUGAAUGAUGCCACACAGGAGGAGAUUAUCGAUUUGGCUGCCAUUCUUGGUUUCCAUUCGAUGAUGAAUCAGGAUCAAUAUCAUGCCUCACUCCUUAACAAAGGUCAACCAGUGGGUUUGGGUUGGGAUGGUGUCACCAAAUCGACGCAGCAGAAACUUUUCCCCAUGGAUCCGCCCAAUGCCACAGAUGUGGAGGAAUCAAUCAAACGCGUCAAGGACGAUGACUCCAAGCUGAUUGAUCUGAACUUAAAUAACAUUAAGAAUAUCUCUGAUGAGAAACUCGAACAACUCUUUGCCGCACUGCCUCAGAACGAACAUCUGGAAGUUCUAUCGCUGACAAAUGUCGGCCUGACCGAUAGGACAGCUCUCCUGCUCGCCGAGGCGAUCGAGAAAAGCAAAACCCUGAGAGUAUUAAAUGUUGAGACCAACUUCAUCAGUCCACCCGUGAUUGUUAAGCUGGUGCAAGCCCUGCUCAAGUGUCACACCAUUGAAGAGUUCCGGGCCACCAACCAGCGAUCAGGGGUGCUGGGCAACAAGAUUGAAAUGGAGAUUACCGAUUUAGUGGAGAAGAACUCUUCGCUGCUGAGACUUGGCUUGCAUCUGGAAUUCAAUGAUGCCCGUCAUCGUGUGGCCGCCCAUCUGCAGCGCAACAUCGACAGAAUACGUGUGAAACGCCUGAAUCAGCGUAAAUAAACAAACAAAAAAGACAAAGCAAAACCAACAACAACAACAACAAGAACAGCAUACAACCAUUUUAUGUUUGUGUGUGUAUGAGUGUGUUUUGUUUUUGGUUGUUCAAUCUUUAUAUUUUUCAUUACUAAUUCAACAAUCGGCAACACCAUCACCAAAACCACCAAAAAAACCAACAACAAGAACUACAACUACACCACCAGCUACAAGAACCACCUGAACAACAACAACAACAACAACAACAACAACUGCCCCAGCCGAUCAACAACUACAGCAAGAGCAAUAUGAUUGUCUAUGUGAAUGUUGAAACACAGUCUAUAUCCCCGUGUAUAUCCCCAUAUAUUUGUUUGCCCUCCUGAACCAACCAAACAACCAGCCGCCAAACUAACAACGAAGAAUGAUGUUAACAUCCAUUGGACGUCAACGUCGCAUGGGUCAUCUGAGCAGGAAUUACACCAUUGGCGUUUGGCAGUAAUUGGAAUGAGGAGGGAUCAGCAAUGGAUGAUUGGAGAACGGAUGGAUUAGAAAUACUACCUACUGGCCUUCAUGUGCUAACUGCUAUCUUUAA